AGGGAGAUCGGAACUGAGGGAGGAGUAGUGACAUGCGUUGAUACCCUCGGGAACACCAGUGGCGUAAGGCGGAUCUCUGGGAGAAGAUUGACACUGAGACACGAAAGCUAGGGGAGCGAAGCAGAUUAGAGACCUGCGUAGUCCUAGCCGUAAACGCAUGCUUGCUAGCUGCAUGAAUCUACCUUCGGGUGGUAUCGUGUGGCGAAGGUAACCCGUUAAGCAAGCCGCCUGGAAAGUACGGCCGCAAGGCUGAAAUUCAAAGGAAUUGGCGGGGAGGCACACAACCAGUGGAACAUGUGGUUUAAUUCGAGACUAACCGAAGAACCUCACCAGGGUUUGACAUGUAGCUGCACGUCUUAAGAAAUUAAGACUCUCUUGAAGGUGCUACACAGGUGCUGCAUGGCUGUCGUCAGCUCGUUCCGUGAGGAGUGCCCUUAAGUGGGACAACGAGCGCAACCCCUAUUACAUGUUAGAAAUGUCAUGUAAGACUGCCUUGCCAUUUGGCGGGGAGGAAGGAGGGGCAGACGUCAAGUCCGCAUGGUCCUUAUGCCAUGGGCUACACACAUGUUACAAUGAGUACGGCAAUGAGUCUGUCGCGAGCACGUAAGUGUAAGCUAAUCUCUUAAAUGUACUCUCAGUGGGGAUUGAGGUCUGCAACUCGACCUCAUGAACACGGAAUUGGUAGUAAUCGCG
rnacentral:rRNA from 1 species